CGACCGGGCCGCCGCGUUCGCCAACUGCUAUUAUGACGUCGGGGCAGAGGUGGCGAAUGUGGCGUGUGGCCGAAAGGAGAUUCUCUCACUCACCACCCCCUCCUUUUACACACAUACACACACACAAACACACACACAUUUUUUUUUUUAACCCCACAGACAGCGCAAAGAAAGGGCGCUUCCGGCCCAGAUUAAAAUUGCCACACGUGCGGCGUUAGUGACAGCAGGUUGUACCACGUAAAGCAAGUUUAACAAAACCCGGGAAAGGCAGUUCGAGCUUCUGGUUCUUUCUUUUUUACUGAAACAAUAGUACCCAUCUUUUCUUCAGCUGAUUAUUAUUUAUUCCGAUUGAUAUAUUCGUGACUCUGGGCCGCUUCCAAUUGAAGCAUAAACCCCACCCAUCCCCUCAAACAGCCAUAUCAACCAACGCAACAAGCUAAAAUGCCGGCCGGCUUGACACAUUUUGGUCAAACCUAUUUUUGUUCAGCCUAAAUUUCGCAACAAGUCCGUCCUCGUGGACGGAGAGUAGUUACAGGGGUUUAAAUGAAUUCUUAUAAAAGACGAUGUUUCAGGCCUUCAAAUAUAAAGCUUAUAGGCCUCUAUCUUUUGAGAGAAAAUAGGGAAAACAGGAUUUAAAUCCAUCUCCGUUUCCCCCCCCCCCUUUCAAUUCAUAUUUCCCUGCCUUUGCCUCCACGUGGAUGUUUCUGUCAUUUCCAGUCGAGAAUCGGAAGUCUGAGCCAAAAAAAUCCUCAAGGCUGGAUCUUUUGAAAUCGAUUUCCUCUUUCUCCUCUCCUUGAAUCUUUCAGCCACGCAUUUUGCAAGUACUACUACACCUGUCCGAAUCAUUACUUUGGACUAAGCUUUCUUAAAGAAAAAGACUGAAGCACACAGGAAGACAUCUUUAAGUACACAGUUCCCUUGUAUUGCUGGUUGGGUAGUUUAUUUUUGCUUACUAGGAUUUAUAUGGUGUCUAAUACAUUACAUUACAGUAUGUAAUACAGGAAUAACAAUAAAUGUUUGAUCGGGAGAAAAUAUUUUAUGGACAACUAAACUUUGAUCACAAGCUUUCAAAUAUGGAAUGUUGCCCAGUGUAAACAAGCACUGGAAACAGCUCUCUAACCUGUUUGAUUUUAAUGGCCUUAAAAUACCAAUAAAAAGGACCAGAAUCUGGUUUUGAUGCUG